rnacentral:rRNA from 1 species
CUGGCGGCUGUAGCGCGGUGGUCCCACCUGACCCCAUGCCGAACUCAGAAGUGAAACGCCGUAGCGCCGAUGGUAGUGUGGGGUCUCCCCAUGCGAGAGUAGGGAACUGCCAGGCAU